UUAGAAUGUAGAGAAACUAAGAUGGUGGGU
rnacentral:piRNA from 1 species